ensembl:misc_RNA Metazoa_SRP Metazoan signal recognition particle RNA
GCUAGGCAUGGUGGCGCGUGCCUGUAGUCCCAGCUACUCGGGAAGCUGAGGCAGGAGAAUCACCUGAACCUGGGAGGUGGAGGUUACAGUGAGCAGAGAUUGUGCCACUGCACUCCAGCCUGGUGACAGGGUGAGAUUCUGUCUCAA